CAGAAGAUUCCGCUUCAACCAUAUAGAUGAUUUGCCUGUGGUUAGGAACUGAACAUAUAAUCUUUUUCACCAGCAAUAAAGGAAAGCUGAAAACAUGGUUAUAGAGGCAGCAAGUCAAGGUGUGGCGACUAACUACCGCCUUGCGCUUAAGUGACUAAAGCGUGAGGCGAAUCAACACCUAAAUUAAUAAAAAACUAAAAACAGCAGCAUAGAGCAGUAGGUGAACAAAAAAGAAAAGGAAAAAAGAAAAAGAAAGGGGCCUGGUAAGAAGUGGGCUGGCCCAGCCCACCAGGCAGCUCAUGUGCUCCUCGCCUCCUCCCCCACCUGGUGUGGCUUUGUUAAACUCCAAAUCCCGACCCCCUUCAGUGUCGCCGCUUCUUCUCUCACGCGUUCUCCACUGCUAUUCCGCCUCCACCCAAGUGCCUGCUCUGCUUCCCUCCGCUCCUCUCCAGAUCAAGCAAUUCAUGAGUGGGAGAUGGAAGAGAUCUAGCCAGCAGAAGAAAAAUCAAGCAGGCCACCAGCAGAAUCGAUGAGGAGACAGCGGAAUCUAGGGGGCAUAGGCAUGCGAAUAAGGCGACGAGGCAUCACCUAACCCCUGAGGUGACCUUCGACCGCUCUGGCGCUUAAGCACCGCUUAAGUGAUGCCUUAAUAACAAUGGCUGAAAAGGUGCUCCAAAGAUGAGCUAUCCAACCUAAAAGCAAAAUUCCGAAUGAUGUGCUGUAAAACUGUAUUCUGUAAUAGCAUAUAUUUAUUAUUUUUCUAUUCAGUCCAUUUUCUUCCCUUUCAGCACAAACAGAAAAAUUAAUCUGCAAUU